rnacentral:lncRNA from 1 species
UUUAACGUCAAAGGUAAAAUCAACCACUUUGUCCAUAACUCAGAUCCAUCGGAGAAGAUUAUGAGAGAUGAAAAACUCAAACGCUAGAUAAUGAAAUAUGCAUUACUAGCAUUUAAUUCUCAGGUGAGUCUAGCUGAAGAGAUUGAUGUUAAUGACGUCCUCUGAAAAUUAAUUGUUUGAGGAUGGAUGAAUGAGUAUUUUCAAAAUUUCUUCCUCCUUUUCAUGUUGCUGUUUAUGGUUUUGCCAAGUUCACAUUAAGUUUUGUUACAGGCUUGAAGGUGCAACUUAUCAAUCAAAGCCUCAACAAAAAAGGGGCUAAACUUACUUGCUUAAAAUGAAUGUGUUAUUGUCAUUUUCCCUACGUAGGGCGCACAUUUUCAUUUAAACUAGUAUCCAACAUUUUGGCAACUGUUCCGUUUCUAAACUGUAAGUAACACUAUGUAUGUCACUCUUGGUUUUUUGUUUGCUUUUGAAGUUUUUUCUUUUUAUUUUUUUUAUUAAAGUGCAGUUUAUUUACAGUAUUAAUUUCUGCAGUGCAGCAAAGUGACUCUUCUAUACAUACAUACCUUCUUUUUUAUAUUUCUUUCCAUUAUGGUUUAUCCCGGAGAUUGGAUAUUUUUCCCUGUGCUAUAGAGUAUCCUAUAUAGUAGGACAGACCCUAUUUAGUAAGAUAGAUCCUAUAGAGUAGGAUCUCUGUCGAUUCUAAAGGUAAUAAUUUGCAUCUGUUGACCCUGAACUUGGUUUGGAAGUCAGCGCUCUAGUUGAAUGUCAUUAAAGGGGCCACCGGAGGCGUGGUGCUGCUUUUAACGAGGAAAACCGUGAACUUUGAAAAUGGCUUCUCAACCCCGCAUUCACUUUUACUUGGUGUGUGAAAGCUAUUCUGUGUCCGUUUUUCUCUUAAUGUUUAAUAAAUACUAUAGUUAUGGAUAAUAGUACUUCAUAUAUAAUAGGAGAUCUCUGUAUAUUUUAUUUAUGAAUAUAUCAUGAUCAAUAAAUGCAUGUUUACUGGGUUGGGUUGGUACCAAAGGUAGGCAUACAUAUUUAUAUUUAGUAUAUAUUACUAUUAUAUGUAUGUAUAAUAAUCAAUAAGAAAAAUAGUUACAAUAAUUUGUUAUUAAAAUUUUAUCCAUGAUUUGACUUUCAAAGUAGACGCUGAAAAAAAUUACUGUUUAAUAUGAUGUCUAAUAGACAGUGAAGGUGGUUUGCUAAUUAAAGAGAUUCUUUUUAACAUUGGUAGUAAAACCAGAAGUACAUCUAUGAAGACUUUUCUAAAUAGUCUAAUUUAUGUGUAAUUAUAUAACAAAGGUGAACUUGCAUUUAUAUGAUACAUAAAGAUCACAUGACAUAAAACUGUUUCUGAAAUUAUAACAUUAUUUUAUGGUGGAGGGGUGACUGAUAAGGAUAAGUGCCAUCUCGUGGGAUUCUUUCUGAAUCUAUACAGAAACUUCAUUUGACCAUGAACAUUAUUGCUCUUGUCUCUCCAAAAAAUAUUCAUCAUCAGUUGAUCCAUAAUUUAUUUAAAAACAUGUGCUUAGUGGCAACUAAGCGACUAACUACACAUCCCAUAGCCAUAUUAUGCCUUAAUAAAUAUUCUGUAUAUUAAUUAACUACAUCAUAUAGUUCAUAAACAUGACGGAGUCCUUACAGUGUUAAAUUUAAACAUGGCACAGCCCACGAGUGUUAUACUGCAGUGAUAUUCUUUCACUUUUCAUUUGAACUAAUUAAAUAAU